UCUUCUCCUGCAUUGCUGUUGCGCUAAGCUAUGCGAUAGGCUUGUCUUGCUGCUUAAUGUUGCUGCUGUAACAUAUCUGCCACCCCGCUAUGCGUUGUUUGGUUCCCACCAGCCCGGCCUCCAUCUGUUUUGGCUCUGCUUUCUUUUCCUGUCAGAUUGGUAUGUAUAUCUCGCUCACUGCCCGAAGUUGAUCAAUAAGGGUAAUAAUUGACUCAUUGCUCGGACGAUGAGCUCUCCUGAAGGAGCUUGACGCCAAGAUCAAAUGUACUGUCAUCUCUUUUGUAAUACAUGGUUAAAGGAAUUGUGGGUUUAAUUUCUGAAUUGAAACAAGUAAUGAUUCAAUUCUUUAUUUGAAAAAAAUUCUAAGCCACUGUCAUUGACAAUAUUUUGCAUAGGACAUUUACAUAGGACAUUUUUCAGUUAGCGUUAGAGCUUCUCACAGAACACGUAGCCAGGAUAUUGUCUUAAUGUGUGGAUGUUCCUAUUGUUCCAUCUCACAGGGCAAAUCAAUCGUUUUGGACUUCCAAUCUCUGCCCAUAGUAGGGAUUUCUAUGUCAGGUCUCCCAGAGAUCAAGUAUGCGCCAGGGUGAACAUUGACAUUCUAGAGUUCACCUGCUGUGAAGGAGAACGGCAUGAGGGGGCUGGGCAGUCCUGCUGUGGAAAGAGGUCCUUCAACCUCAUCCAGGCUUCAUGUUGUGAUGGUCAACUGACUCCGCAUGUGAGCCAGCUGGUGUCAGAUUGCUGUGGCUCUAGGGCCUAUGAUCCACUCAACCAGCUAUGCUGUGACUUACAGAUUCUAACCAGGACCCAACUCCAUUCCAAGUGUUGUGGAAAAGAGCUUUACAAUGAAGACCACCAGCUCUGCUGUGGACAUGUCGAUAAAGGAAGGAAGGUCCUGACCAAAAUGUCCCGUCACCACCGGUGCUGUGGAGACCACCAGUUUGAUCCGCGAAGCCACUGCUGCUGCCACCACAUCACUGAACCAUUAAACCCUCAGCCUCUCAAUGCAAGCUGCUGUGCCAUCCAGGAAGUGCGACAUACUCCCCCAGCGCAAAUUGUUCAGAACAAAAAAAUUGCUCAGAGUUCUCCAAACUGUAUGCCUGGGGAGAAGCCUUGUGGUCAAUGUGCCUGCUUUAACCCAAUAACAGAACGUUGCUGUGUGAACCCUACAUGUCUCCAGGGACAAAGUUACUCACAUGACCAGACCUGCUGUGAGGGAACACUCAGCCAUACUCCAGGUCACUACCAUAGUGCUAGCUGUGGCUCUAAGGUGUACAAUCCAGACAUCAAAACCUGCUGUUGCGGGAAGGUGUCCAAUAAGGUGCUUGGAGUAAACCUGUGCUGCGGUACAACUCCGUAUGGUGUAGAGGACCGAGGGGUGCUGUGCUGUAACCAGACCUUGCACCAUGUGGUGGAGGAUGGGUACCAGUGCUCCCCAGGUGGCCACUUGUAUCUGCCAUCCCGUGAGAUGGUGUGUGGCUCACGAGUUCAUCUGAACGAUCCAGACAAACACUGCUGUGGGGAGGAGACAUACUACCCUUGGAAUGAAAUCUGCUGCAACGGACGCAAACACCACAGGUUGAGAAAUGUUUCCUGCUGCGGAGGGAAGGCCUACGACCCCAGCAGUGGCCAGAUGAAGUGCUGUGCAGGGACUCUGUACGACCUGCAGUUUCAGGACAGACUCUCAGAGGAAGCCCAGUGCUGUGGGAGUGUCCUGAUGGAGGCCGGCUCCACCCAGACCUGCUGCUCUGCCCCAGGGCUAGACGUGCUCUACCCUACCCAGCCAGGCUUCACCUGCUGUGGGCACCGCUACCCCAAUGCCUCCCUGUGGUCUUGCUGCGCCGGGGUCCUGCACUCAAGGCCUGAACCACACAACACCACCAAGAACGUGAUUCCAGGACCCAGACUUCUACCACUGGGGGAUCUGAAGACUGAAGUCCUGUGUCACAGCAGAGGUAAGGCCUCCAGUUUGAAGCACAAGAUGACAGGAAACAUUACUCACUACUUUGAUCUUUAGUAAGAACAGUGGGAAGCACUAGAAUCUUCUUUGACUCUUGGAAGUACAGUGGUUUCACAACGCUUAUCUAAAGUGUGUGUGUGUGUGUGUGUGUGUGUGUGUGUGUGUGUGUGUGUGUGUGUGUGUGUGUGUCCAGUUCUGCUGGGGACAGUGGAGAGUGUGUCUGUGAAGAUGAAUGAGCGGUCCAUCGUGAUGGUGAACGCCAUGGACAUGCCGGCCUCGCGUGGCCAUGUCAGCGCCGUGCCUUUCCCUCACUACCUCACAUUACCCGACCACUGCAGCUCCCCUGAACUGGUGCCGGGCAACACUUACAUCUGGGUGAAAAAUAAUUUCUCAGACACCAUAAGUUUCAUCUCUGAUCUCAGCGAUCAUUCCUCCCCUCUUCAUUCCAUCCUUUCCAGGUGCUGAACCUUUUUCUUUCCCAGAGUAAAGCUCUACAUAAUGUUUUAAAGCUUUACAGUGUUUGUUUGCAAGUACAUUGUUAACAAUCAACGGUGUAAUAAAAAGCUCAUCUUGGGUUCAGAUGGGGUUCGACAAGUAGACAAGCCAUGUGUGUGAAGUGAAUAUCACAUUGUGCAGGAAAAAAAAGCCUAUUUUAACCAAGCAUUUGUGUGUAGGUGUAUGACUUCACCAUGCAUCAAUUCAGGUGGUGUUG
rnacentral:lncRNA from 13 species